rnacentral:misc_RNA from 1 species
GGCCGGGGCAGCCGCGCCGUCAUGCCGCUGAAGGCCGUGAUCCUCAUCGGGGGCCCGCAGAAGGGCACCCGCUUCCGGCCGCUCUCCUUCGAGGUGCCCAAGCCGCUGUUCCCCGUGGCCGGCGUGCCCAUGGUGCAGCACCACAUCGAAGCCUGCGCCAAGGUGCCCGGCCUGAAGGAGAUCCUGCUGAUGGGCUUCUACCAGC